GAGUUUGAUCCUGGCUCAAGAUGAACGCUGGCGGCGUGCCUAACACAUGCAAGUCGAGCGAAGCACUUAAAAUGGAUUCUUCGGAUGAAGCUUUAUGUGACUGAGCGGCGGACGGGUGAGUAACGCGUGGGCAACCUGCCUUACACAGGGGGAUAACAGUUAGAAAUGACUGCUAAUACCGCAUAAGACCACAGGACUGCAUGGUCAGGUGGUAAAAACUCCGGUGGUGUAAGAUGGGCCCGCGUCUGAUUAGGUAGUUGGCGGGGUAACGGCCCACCAAGCCGACGAUCAGUAGCCGACCUGAGAGGGUGACCGGCCACAUUGGGACUGAGACACGGCCCAGACUCCUACGGGAGGCAGCAGUGGGGAAUAUUGCACAAUGGGGGAAACCCUGAUGCAGCGACGCCGCGUGAGCGAUGAAGUAUUUCGGUAUGUAAAGCUCUAUCAGCAGGGAAGAAAAUGACGGUACCUGACUAAGAAGCCCCGGCUAACUACGUGCCAGCAGCCGCGGUAAUACGUAGGGGGCAAGCGUUAUCCGGAUUUACUGGGU
rnacentral:rRNA from 1 species